AAAAAUUAGCCGGGCAUGGUGGCACACACCUGUAAUCCCAGCUACUCAGGAGGCUGAGGCAGGAGAAUCACUUGAACCUGGGAGGCAAAGGUUACAAUGAGCCCAAGAUUGUGCUGCUGCACUCCAGCCUGGGCGACAGAGUGAGACUCCAUCUCAAAAAU